rnacentral:rRNA from 1 species
CAUAAUCUCUGAGGAGAAAAGCAGGGGAUCGCAAGACCCUGCGCUUUUGGAGCGGCCGAUGUCUGAUUAGCUAGUUGGUGAGGUAAAGGCUUACCAAGGCUUCGAUCAGUAGCUGGUCUGAGAGGACGACCAGCCACACUGGGACUGAGACACGGCCCAGACUCCUACGGGAGGCAGCAGUGGGGAAUUUUGGACAAUGGGGGCAACCCUGAUCCAGCCAUGCCGCGUGAGUGAAGAAGGCCUUCGGGUUGUAAAGCUCUUUCAGCCGGAACGAAACGGUCACGGUUAAUAACUGUGAUCACUGACGGUACCGGAAGAAGAAG